rnacentral:rRNA from 1 species
UACGAAGGGGGCUAGCGUUGCUCGGAAUUACUGGGCGUAACGGGCACGUAGGCGGCCUGGUUAGUUAGCUUUGAAAUUCCUGGGCUUAACCUUUUUCCUUCCUUUCAUACAGCCAAGCUUGAGUGUGGAAGAGGGUCGUGGAAUUCCCAGUGUAGAGGUGAAAUUCGUAGAUAUUGGGAAGAACACCGGUGGCGAAGGCGGCGACCUGGUCCAUUACUGACGCUGAGGCGCGAAAGCGUGGGGAGCAAACAGG